CGGAAUCUGCCUAUUUGUGGGGGAUAACGUAGGGAAACUUACGCUAAUACCGCAUACGACCUACGGGUGAAAGCGGAGGACCUUCGGGCUUCGCGCAGAUAGAUGAGCCGAUGUCGGAUUAGCUAGUUGGCGGGGUAAAGGCCCACCAAGGCGACGAUCCGUAGCUGGUCUGAGAGGAUGAUCAGCCACACUGGAACUGAGACACGGUCCAGACUCCUACGGGAGGCAGCAGUGGGGAAUAUUGGACAAUGGGCGCAAGCCUGAUCCAGCCAUGCCGCGUGGGUGAAGAAGGCCUUCGGGUUGUAAAGCCCUUUUGUUGGGAAAGAAAAGCAGUCGGUUAAUACCCGAUUGUUCUGACGGUACCCAAAGAAUAAGCACCGGCUAACUUCGUGCCAGCAGCCGCGGUAAUACGAAGGGUGCAAGCGUUACUCGGAAUUACUGGGCGUAAGCGUGCGUAGGUGGUUUGUUAAGUCUGAUGUGAAAGCCCUGGGCUCAACCUGGGAAUUGCAUUGGAUACUGGCAGGCUAGAGUGCGGUAGAGGGUAGUGGAAUUCCCGGU
rnacentral:rRNA from 1 species